CCUACGGGUGGCUGCAGUGAGGAAUAUUGGUCAAUGGACGAGACUCUGAACCAGCCAAGUAGCGUGAAGGAUGACGGCCCUAUGGGUUGUAAACUUCUUUUAUAUGGGAAUAAAUUGUGCCACGUGUGGGCUUUUGUAUGUACCAUAUGAAUAAGGAUCGGCUAACUCCGUGCCAGCAGCCGCGGUAAUACGGAGGAUCCGAGCGUUAUCCGGAUUUAUUGGGUUUAAAGGGCGCGUAGGUGGAUUGUUAAGUCAGUUGUGAAAGUAUGCGGCUCAACCGUAGAAUUGCAGUUGAAACUGGCAGGCUUGAGUACGGUAGAGGUAGGCGGAAUUCGUGGUGUAGCGGUGAAAUGCUUAGAUAUCACGAAGAACUCCGAGUGCGAAGGCAGUUCACUGGACUGCAACUGACGCUGAGGCUCGAAAGUGUGGGUAUCAAACAGGAUUAGAUACCCGAGUAGUC
rnacentral:rRNA from 1 species